rnacentral:rRNA from 1 species
UACGUAGGGGGCAAGCGUUGUUCGGAAUUACUGGGCGUAAAGGGCGCGUAGGCGGCACAGCAAGUCGGGAGUGAAAGCCCGGGGCUCAACCCCGGAAUGGCUUUCGAAACUGCUGAGCUAGAGUACAGAAGGGGCAACCGGAAUUCCCAGUGUAGCGGUGAAAUGCGUAGAUAUUGGGAAGAACACCUGAGGCGAAGGCGGGUUGCUGGGCUGAUACUGACGCUGAGGCGCGAAAGCCAGGGGAGCAAACAGG